UGGGGGAUAUUGCACAAUGGGCGAAAGCCUGAUGCAGCGACGCCGCGUGGGGGAUGAAGGCCUUCGGGUUGUAAACUUCUUUUGCUCUGAACAAGGCAUGCUAAUGGGUGUGUUGAGUGUAGGGGUUGAUUAGCGCCGGCUAACUACGUGCCAGCAGCCGCGGUAAUACGUAGGGCGCGAGCGUUGUCCGGAAUUAUUGGGGGUAAAGGGCUUGUAGGUGGCUGGUUGCGUCUGUCGUGAAAGCUCAUGGCUUAACUGUGGGUUUGCGGUGGGUACGGGCUGGCUUGAGUGCAGUAGGGGAGGCUGGAAUUCCUGGUGUAGCGGUGGAAUGCGCAGAUAUCAGGAGGAGUACCGGUGGCGAAGGCGGGUCUCUGGGCUGUUACUGACACUGAGGAGCGAAAGCAUGGGGAGCGAACAGG
rnacentral:rRNA from 1 species